rnacentral:rRNA from 1 species
UACGUAGGCAGCAAGCGUUGUUCGGAGUUACUGGGCGUAAAGGGUGCGUAGGCGGCUUUUUAAGUUUGGUGUGAAAUCUCCCGGCUCAACUGGGAGGGUGCGCCGAAUACUGAGAGGCUAGAGUGUGGGAGAGGAAAGUGGAAUUCCUGGUGUAGCGGUGAAAUGCGUAGAUAUCAGGAGGAACACCGGUGGUGUAAACGGCUUUCUGGACCAUAACUGACGCUGGAGGCAACGAAAGCGUGGGUAGCAAACAGG